rnacentral:lncRNA from 1 species
AAACAUUGUACACCUGCUCCUGUGAUCCUUAUAUAAGUGAGAGAAGAGCUGUGACUUAGAUGGUUCCAUGGUUUCUUUGGCCUCUGUAUCCACCAAAAGAAAACAAACAUCACACAGCUGUUAUAGCUCUUGUUUUCUGCACCAGAAAAGCGUAAGUGUGGAGUGGACAUCUUGCGCGCCCUCUGACUGGCCUGCUAACCAGACUGUGACAAGCCCAGCAGGUGUCUCUGGGUCCCAGUGGAGGCGGCCUGCAUUCGCAGCGUUCCUGCAUCUGCGCAUUGGCUGCCGUGUGUCUUGCUGUCCUCGCCUGACUCUAAAUACUUUGAACAUCUAAGGCCUAGAGUGGGAGAUUCACAAGGACAAACUAGCUGAAAAUUGCUUUAAAGAAAUAGAAUCGAGGAAUAAACUUCAGCUAAAUCUGUCUCAAAUGAGAAAAGGAUCAACAGUGGGAGGGAGGGGAAAAGGGAUGAAAGAGGUAUUAAGAUGUGCUAUGAACCUGUACUGAAUCUACACAAAUAAUGUGACAUAAAUGUACUACAAAUAUGUACUAAAAAAAACCUUUCAUGGCUCUUCCCAUUACACUAGCGAAUUGUUCAUAGCUCAAGGUUUAACGGUGAAAUUCUAUGUCAUUGGAUCCACAAUAUAAUAUGAAGUUUGAUAUUUAAUAUCCUGUGUUAUAUUUCUGUAUUUUUGUGGUACUGGAGAUUGAACAUACGAUCGUCACACUGAGCUACAUCCCCUACAUCUUGCUACACCACUAAAUUGCCCAGGCUGAGCUGGAACUUGCAGCCUUCCUGACCCAGCCUCCCAGAAUGCUGGCAUGCAAAAUACUAAUGAAUAUUAGAAUGCUCACCAAAUCUCACCCUUCAAAGUUUGAAGAAAGCAAUUUGAGCUUUUGGUUUCCAGAAGAUGCCAAAGAGAACAAGGCAAGAAAAAGAGAAUGACGAAUGAGUAGCAAAAACAGCAUUUUGCUCUGUGGUAUUUGUAUGUGUGUAUGUGUGUAUAUGUGUGGAGGGGUGCGGGAUAUAUUUCUGAUGUUUUAAAUGCAGCGCUGAGGGCUGGGAAUUUAGCUCAGUGGUAUAAGUGCCUGCUUGGCAAACACAAG